rnacentral:rRNA from 1 species
UUGACCUCAAAUCAGGUAGGACUACCCGCUGAACUUAAGCAUAUCAAUAAGCGGAGGAAAAGAAACUAACAAGGAUUCCCCUAGUAACUGCGAGUGAAGC